UCAGGUCGGGGACAACCACUGGAAACGGUGGCUAAUACCGGAUAUGCCGCAACGUGAAAGAUUUAUCGCCUGAAGAGGAGCUCGCGUCUGAUUAGCUAGUUGGUGGGGUAAAAGCUCACCAAGGCGACGAUCAGUAGCUGGUCUGAGAGGAUGAUCAGCCACACUGGGACUGAGACACGGCCCAGACUCCUACGGGAGGCAGCAGGGGGGAAUUGU
rnacentral:rRNA from 1 species